rnacentral:rRNA from 1 species
UACAGAGGGGGCAAGCGUUGUUCGGAAUUACUGGGCGUAAAGGGCGCGUAGGCGGCCCGCUAAGUCGAACGUGAAAUCCCCAGGCUCAACCUGGGAACUGCGUCCGAUACUGGCAGGCUUGAAUCCGGGAGAGGGAUGUGGAAUUCCAGGUGUAGCGGUGAAAUGCGUAGAUAUUCGCAAGAACACCAGUGGCGAAGGCGGCUCACUGGCCCGGUACUGACGCUGAGGUGCGAAAGCGUGGGGAGCAAACAGG